UUGGCAGCCGCUUUGGUCCUCGUAGCCGCCGCCCCUCAGGAUGAACGGCCCAUCCAGAUCCUCGAGGACGACCGCGUCCAGCCUAGAGACGGCGCCUACUCCUUCAGGAUCAAGACUGAGAAUGGCAUCGUCCAGAGUGAAGAGGGCAUCCCAGGCCUUGAUGGACAGACAAAUGUACAAGGCGUUUUCAGCUACACAUUAGAUGACGGCAGCGUAGUCGAAGUCCGGUACCAAGCUGACGAGAACGGCUUCCAGGCCAAGUCCCCUCUGCUGCCUGUCGCUCCCGAGUUCCCUCACCCCAUCCCGCAGUUCGUCCUCGACCAGAUCGCCUUUGCUGAAGAGCAGCUUCGUCUUGAGGCUCUCAAUACGCAGCAGCAACAACAAUAAGAACAACUGCAACAAGAACAAUAAAUGUAAUGGAACUUAUGUGUAAGUCAAAGCAAAUGCAUGUGUUUUGUGGAACAGUGACGCAAACCAAAUAUCUUUUAGACCUAUGUAAAUAAAAAGUACCUAUA